GAAAGUGGGAAGGACGGAGUUUUGGCGAGUUUCGUGUUACAUUUUCGCUGGCGUUGUUCCUUUUGAAGGAACAAAAACUCUGAUGUCAUCCAGGGGAAGAGAACAGUUUUGCGGAUGUGUCCAAAAGUAAAACGCCAGUUUGUCUGAGAAGCCCGUAGCUGGCUGUAGGGUCCGAAGCUUGAAAACUUUAACAACUUGUUAGGAUACUGGAAUGUGUCCCAAAUCUUUCCAAAGUCGGCAGCGUGCUGUAGACCAGUCGGGAGGGGUGUGGUAGUGUUUGUGUAUGAUAAAUUCUGCUAAAAGGGUCGUCGUGUGUGUGUGCAGUUGACUGAGUGAUCAGAUGGAGCAGUGCAUGGUGCCAGCCAAUGUAAAACGGGUGAAACCGAAUCGGUCCAAACCCCCCCAGACUCCCCCCAAACCAGCGUAUGAGGUGAAGAAGAAUAUGAUCCAGAGAGGGAAGAACUCAAGAGGCGCUCCGUCACCUCCACCCAAACCCAGCCCUGAGUAUCCCUCUCUCCCUGGGAGAAAAGGAAGUGAA